rnacentral:tRNA from 1 species
GUUCUUUUCGUCUAGUGGUUAAGACACAGCCUUUUCAAGGCUGUGACACGGGUUCAAUUCCCGUAAAGAAUA